rnacentral:tRNA from 1 species
GGAGGGGUGACCGAGCGGCUAAGGUACCGGUCUUGAAAACCGAGGUUGGGUGAAAGCCCACGCGAGUUCGAGUCUCGCCCCCUCCG